UCAAUCAGCCAUAAAGUUCUUUGCACUACACUCUCGCCAGAUAAUGCUUUGCGCGGUUGAUCCAUGUGACUCCAAUCACAAUAUUGCUGAUCAUUACCGUCAUUUUCUGCAAUGAUUUGAGGCCUUGCUAGUUCCCAAGGAUGAUCUCGAUAAAACCUUUUACGGAGUUUAUCUUCUGGCCAUUGAAUUUCCUGAGGCUGAUACAUUGAUUUUCGUAACCGUUUACCACGGGAUUUUACCUUAUUUGGAUCGUACAAUGGUACAAUACGUCUAGCAUAUUGAAAGGUUGGGGGAUGUUUAGCAACCGUUUCGUACCAUAAAGACUCUGCUGUCCAUGGCUUUUUCAUUUCAGCUGCAAAGCUGCGUAGCAAACCAUUUGCAUUAAAUUUCGGCAUUGGAUCUUCCUCCUGAAAAAGUUAUUAAAUAGUAUAUUAGUAAAAUAAUCAGUAAUAGAAACGUGAAAAUGGAAGUAAGGAUUGAAUAAUGAUUGAGAUGGGUUAAUUAUGCAAA